AGCAAAGAUGGCGGAACAGCAUGGAUGUUUUUUGUGUGUCUUGCGUCCAUAAGAUACAGCCAGACCAACUCUAAGCCAUCCUGCACACCCAGAAAACUGAUCUGAGGAUUAACACAACAAUCUGCACAAACUGAACCACAGAACUCAGCAGAUACACAAAGUUACAUGGCCACAACCAGC